CGGUAAGAAGAGCAUAAGAGGAGAAUUAUCCAACCGCGAACCACACUCCGACGGCGAAAACCACCGCGGAGGUCCACCGUCAGCAACUCCGAUAAACUCCUUCGCAUGCUCAAAAUAUUCCUUCCAACCGGUCCGUCUCUCUUUCUCCUCAUUCUCUUCCCAACGCUUCUCUGUCUCCACCGUACUUAUUUCCUCUUCUCGUUUCGCCACCGUCAUGGUUAAUUUCUCCUCCGUUACGAUUGUCGCCGGAACUCGGUCGACUGAUAUGGCGAAGCGCGGGGCCAUUCUCAGAAUCCGAGGUUUCCUGAGAAGCUGUGGCGGGUCGCGGCGGAAGAGAGGUGAAGAAACGCCGGUGAAAAAAGAAGCACCGGCGGACGGCAUGGAGGAGAAUUGGUUGUGGCGGGUCUGAAGUGAAAAGUGAUCGUAUCGUCCCAACAGCUAGCUAGCUAGCUAGCUAUAAAGGAAGUGUAUCUGUAAUAAAUGUUUUGGACUUUGAUUCAACGAUCAAUUAAUAAAAUGAAAAUGAAAAUGUGUAUACUAGUAAAGAAUGUUUUUAUAAUUUUGAAUGAUGAAAUGAAAUAUAAAAAUGUGGUUGGUGGAGGAGAGUGAGUAUUCGGGAUUCGUGUAUCCAGUAUCUACCGCUGUUAUGUUGUGCGUUGCCUAAUG
rnacentral:lncRNA from 1 species